GGUCUUAUGGUCUAGUGGUAUGAUUCUCGCUUAGGGUGAACAACCUGAGCACACUUGCGAGAGGCCCCGCGUUCGAGUCGCGGUAAGACCC
rnacentral:tRNA from 2 species